rnacentral:rRNA from 1 species
CGGCACCUCAAGUGGUCAGGAUGAUUAUUGGGCCUAAAGCAUCCGUAGCCGGCUCUGUAAGUUUUCGGUUAAAUCUGUACGCUCAACGUACAGGCUGCCGGGAAUACUGCAGAGCCAGGGAGUGGGAGAGGUAGACGGUACUCGGUAGGAAGGGGUAAAAUCCUUUGAUCUAUUGAUGACCACCUGUGGCGAAGGCGGUCUACCAGAACACGUCCGACGGUGAGGGAUGAAAGCUGGGGGAGCAAACCGGAUUAGAGACCCGAGUAGUCC